GUUACACUAAACACUGUUAUGAUAAAUGGCCUCAGGUUGUGUUUCUGCAGAUUUCUAUCAAUAACAAAUAGAUGAAGACUGAAAUUAGCCAAAUCUCGCAUCAGAUUUUUCUCACCGUGUUUCUGGACAGUGAACGCUCCACUUUGCAGAAACGCUGUGAAGAAGUGAUUGUUGUGUUGCUGCUGGCUGAAACUCCUCUGUGCUGGCUUGAGAAACCCUGCAGAGCUGCCAGGACGGGAGGAGCUGCCAGCCUGAGAGAGGCUGCUCCGGCCUGAGAGGAGAUUAGCAGGCAGGCGAGAAAGGGAACAGGUGAGCGCCACAUAAUGCGGAGAGAACAUAGAACAUGAUACGCAGAGGGCGGAAAGAGUACCGGCAGCUUGUGAAAAGUGCGCAAGAAAAGGUCAAAGCUUUAAAUGUAGAGCUGUGUACCAGAGAGUAGCGGCUGACUUCAGCA